rnacentral:lncRNA from 1 species
GUGGGCAUCAGUAAUCAGUCCUGUUAUUGCGUUUCACAUUUUAUUACCACGUGAAUAAACGUGUUUCAAAUUACAAGACAGGUUUUCCAACAUUAGUGUGUCAAGAGUUUCUCUUGCGAUGAUCGUGGACUUCAGGAAACAACAGAGGGAGCACCUCCCUAUCCACAUCGAUGGGACUGCAGUGGAGAAGGUGGAAAGCUUCAAGUUCCUCGGCAUACACAUCACUGACAAACUGAAAUGGUCCACCGACACAGACAGUGUGGUGAAGAAGGCGCAACAGUUCCUCUUCAACCUCAGGAGGUUAAGAAAUUUGGCUUGGCCCCUAAGACCCUCACAAACUUGUACAGAUGCACAAUUGAGAGCAUCCUGUCGGGCUGUAUCACCGCCUGGUACGGCAACUGCACCGCCCACAACCGCAAAGCUCUCCAGUCUGCCCAACGCAUUAGCGGAGGCAAAUUUCCUGCCCUCCUGGACACCUACAGCACCCACGAUGCCAUAGGAAGGCCAAACAGAUCAUCAAGAACCUCAACCACCAGAGCCAC